AGUAAAUAGAUACCCCGGUAGUCCACGCCGUAAACGAUGUCGACUUGGAGGUUGUGCCCUUGAGGCGUGGCUUCCGGAGCUAAACGCGUUAAAGUCGACCGCCUGGGGAGUACGGCCGCAAGGUUAAAACUCAAAUGAAUUGACGGGGGCCCGCACAAGCGGUGGAGCAUGUGGUUUAAUUCGAUGCAACUCGAAGAACCUUACCUACUCUUGACAUCCAGAGAACUUAGCAGAGAUGCUUUGGUGCCUUCGGGAACUCUGAGACAGGUGCUGCAUGGCUGUCGUCAGCUCGUGUUGUGAAAUGUUGGGUUAAGUCCCGCAACGAGCGCAACCCUUAUCCUUUGUUGCCAGCGGUCCGGCCGGGAACUCAAAGGAGACUGCCAGUGAUAAACUGGAGGAAGGUGGGGAUGACGUCAAGUCAUCAUGGCCCUUACGAGUAGGGCUACACACGUGCUACAAUGGCGCAUACAAAGAGAAGCGACCUCGCGAGAGCAAGCGGACCUCAUAAAGUGCGUCGUAGUCCGG
rnacentral:rRNA from 1 species